rnacentral:rRNA from 1 species
UUUGAUCCUGGCUCAGGAUGAACGCUGGCGGCGUGCUUAACACAUGCAAGUCGAACGGGGAUGCCAUUUUUGAAGCGAUUAGCUUGCUGAGAGUGGAAAUGUUGGCAUCUUAGUGGCGGACGGGUGAGUAACGCGUGGGGAACCUGCCCUGUACAGGGGGAUAACACUUAGAAAUAGGUGCUAAUACCGCAUAAGCGCACAGUAUCGCAUGAUACAGUGUGAAAAACUCCGGUGGUACAGGAUGGACCCGCGUCUGAUUAGCUGGUUGGCGGGGUAACGGCCCACCAAGGCGACGAUCAGUAGCCGGCCUGAGAGGGUGAACGGCCACAUUGGGACUGAGACACGGCCCAAACUCCUACGGGAGGCAGCAGUGGGGAAUAUUGGACAAUGGGGGGAACCCUGAUCCAGCGACGCCGCGUGAGUGAAGAAGUAUUUCGGUAUGUAAAGCUCUAUCAGCAGGGAGGAAAAUGACGGUACCUGACUAAGAAGCCCCGGCUAACUACGUG